AGAUUCUUGCUUUAUUUGUCAGCUAAGUGGCGCACGGGUGAGUAAUGUAUAGGUAAUAUGCCUCUUACUAAGGGAUAACAAAUGGAAACGUUUGCUAAUACCUUAUACUCCUUAUUAACAGAAGUUAAUAAGGGAAAGAUUUAUUGGUAAGAGAUUAGCCUGUAUUGUAUCAGUUAGUUGGUGGGGUAAUGGCUUACCAAGACUAUGACACAUAACUGGUUUGAGAGGAUGAUCAGUCACACUGGAACUGAGACACGGUCCAGACUCCUACGGGAGGCAGCAGUGGGGAAUAUUGCACAAUGGACGAAAGUCUGAUGCAGCAACGCCGCGUGGAGGAUGACACAUUUCGGUGCGUAAACUCCUUUUAUAUGAGAAGAUAAUGACGGUAUUAUAUGAAUAAGCACCGGCUAACUCCGUGCCAGCAGCCGCGGUAAUACGGGGGGUGCAAGCGUUACUCGGAAUCACUGGGCGUAAAGAGCAUGUAGGCGGAUUAAUAAGUUUGAAGUGAAAUCCUAUAGCUUAACUAUAGAACUGCUUUGAAAACUGUUAAUCUAGAAUGUGGGAGAGGUA
rnacentral:rRNA from 1 species